AUCCCCUUGUUACUAAAAACACUACUGGAAAAACAUUUUCAGACACCCUUCAAAUUUUACACAAUCUCAAAUAUUAUCAUGAAAUAUUUCCCAAAAAUUCUUUUUUGUGUUUCAAAAUGUGUGGUGGCAUCAGACGGACACAAACAA